rfam:Environmental sequence 2662324_fasta.screen.Contig32285, whole genome shotgun sequence.
GAAGCCGUGAGGCCAGACCGAAAGAAGGGUGUAGCAAAGACACGACCGCACGAACAGAAACAGGCGGCGAGGCCGGGCGCGGGCGAUGAGCGGGCGGGGAACCGCGAAAUCCAUCUGUCACCGAAAGACGCGCAAGGUAGAGCCUGGCGGCACGGGUCGAAAGUACAUGUU